UAUCUUACAAUCCCAUCCUACUCCUCUCCCGCUAUCUUUCCACGGCCACCACUGCCUCCCUCUACUUUCUCUUUCUCAUUAAUGGCCUCCUCCUUCUCGCCGCUCUCUCUCUCUCUCUAAAACCGUCUGUCUCUCUGUGGAAUUGACGAAGAUGAAGUCUAUGCAGCCGCGCUACAAUUUCUUACGGGAGACAAUGAAGCCAAGCCUCCCCAGUCGCCACUCGCCAAACUGUAGCUCCGGCAAGCCUCCAAGGAGAAUGCGCCUCUACCUUCAGAUCUAACUCGUCAUCCUUUUGAUUCUCACAGACGGAGAUUCCCAAACCCUCCCUCUUUCUAUCAAGAAUCGAUUCACCACAAUCCCUUUUUAUCCCGAUUCAAUUUCCCUAGUUUACAGAAGGUUUCCGGGAGCUUUAACUACCAAUUGGACUACAAUGAGAUCAAUUCAUGGAACUGCAUCUAUGGCUGCAAGAGAUUACUAUGAGACAGUUGGGGUUAGCAGGAAUGCAAGUGCAUCAGAAAUAAAGAAAGCUUAUUAUGGGGCAUUGCAGUUGGGACAAGACUCGGAACUUCUUCGGUCGUCUUUGAAAAUCUGGAAUUAGUAUGCAGUAAGAAGAAGGAACCAUCUGAGAAUUUCAAAGGCAAGGGUUGUGAACAUCUAGGAACCGUUCUUUAAAAGACUUUGACCCGCUUCGCUCUUGUCCACCACGUAGCUUUCAGGUGGUCUCAAGAUUGAUUGUACGAGAACAAUCCUCGAUGCAUGCUGGGGUAACCCACAAGAAGGUGAGCUAAACCGAACACUCUGCAGUCUUGCGGCUGGAGGUAGGCACCCUUCUGUGGAGAGACGACCACUUUACUUUCAGGGGCACCAUUCUGGUGACGACUUCGCUGCAGGUGAAGUAACUUCUUACAUCUGGCGUUGCACAAAGAUCCCUCCGGAGCAGUUUCUUUGCUUUGACGCACCGCGAUACAGGCAUCAAAAACGAGUGCAGUGAAACCCCCUUGAGUUGGACCUUGCUUUCGCCACCUAUACGCAGGACGCACCGCAAUAUAGGCAUCGAAAGAAGGUCGAGAAUACACGGGUGAGCCUCUUCCCUUGCCGAAAUAUCUUUUCCUCCUCCAUCUCUGUGAACGUGCUUUUUUUCUUGGUCUCUUUAAACCUGCACUGUUUGUUAACACAAAGGCAAAUGGAGGUGUUUUGUUUUCUGAUUUUGGUGGGCAACAAUGAGGGAUUUGAGGCUUUGUGAGUUGUGAUGGUGUUGUUGGCAUAUUUGGCCGGAGUGGUUUGUUUUCGGAGCUGUUUAAGAAGGAUUACAGAGCCCACAUGGAAAUAGGCAGAGGCAAGUCUUUCUGCACUCAUGGAGAUAUUAGCAACGAGCAAGGAAGACCUUGAAGAAACGACCAGCAGGAUACCUGAAUAUGAAGCUCUCCUGUCGUCGGGUUGUCGUCUCCAGGAACCGUUCUUUAAAAGACUUUGACCCGCUUCGCUCUUGUCCACCACGUAGCUUUCAGGUGGUCUCAAGAUUGAUUGUACGAGAACAAUCCUCGAUGCAUGCUGGGGUAACCCACAAGAAGGUGAGCUAAACCGAACACUCUGCAGUCUUGCGGCCAGGUAGGCACCCUUCUGUGGAGAGACGACCACUUUACUUUCAGGGGCACCAUUCUGGUGACGACUUCGCUGCAGGUGAAGUAACUUCUUACAUCUGGCGCUGCACAAAGAUCCCUCCGGAGCAGUUUCUUUGCUUUGACGCACCGCGAUACAGGCAUCAAAAACAAGUGCAGUGAAACCCCCUUGAGUUGGACCUUGCUUUCGCCACCUAUACGCAGGUCGCACCGCAAUAUAGGCAUCGAAAGAAGGUCGAGAAUACACGGGUGAGCCUCUUCCCUUGCCGAAAUAUCUUUUCCUCCUCCAUCUCUGUGAACGUGCUUUUUUUCUUGGUCUCUUUAAACCUGCACUGUUUGUUAACACAAAGGCAAAUGGAGGUGUUUUGUUUUCUGAUUUUGGUGGGCAACAAUGAGGGAUUUGAGGCUUUGUGAGUUGUGAUGGUGUUGUUGGCAUAUUUGGCCGGAGUGGUUUGUUUUCGGAGCUGUUUAAGAAGGAUUACAGAGCCCACAUGGAAAUAGGCAGAGGCAAGUCUUUCUGCACUCAUGGAGAUAUUAGCAACGAGCAAGGAAGACCUUGAAGAAACGACCAGCAGGAUACCUGAAUAUGAAGCUCUCCUGUCGUCGGGUUGUCGUCUCCAGAGCUCUUUAAAUAGGCACGUAGAAGAAUAAGAGAUCAUGCAGGUUAACCCUAAUUUUAAAUUCGAAAUGAUCUUCAGAUGAUGAUAACCACUCCCACAUUCAAACUUGCAACCGUGGGAAUUAUCCACAACUUCCAGUAUGGGAUUUGAAUUUGAAAACUUGAUACAAAAUGAGUCAUCUGAUUGCUACCACUUCAAAUGAUAUCAAGUCGUGACUUUUGUUAUCCUCAUUGGAUGGAUGAUUUGAAUAUUCUUGACUUGGUCUUGAAUACAAUCCACGUGAUGCAUGCAUGAUCUUCCUUUUCUUGUUUUAUUUGAACUUUGAAGACAACUAGGACUCUACCUUCUUUGGCCAUAGCAAACUUGUACAAUUAUCUGCUUUGGAGAUAAUUAAGCUAAAAAUACUGGACUCUCACUUUUGCAUCGAACCAAAAAUUUUUAUUUUGGGUUUGUGAAAUUUUCGGUCUCAACGGCCAUGAUCUAGAACUUAGAACUGGGGCAAGUUUCUUUAGACACCUAGAAUAUAUUGUCAAUAUUAACUGAAUUGGGUAUGGGAACGAUUAUGUUUCUGCUGAUAAACAAUUCUUUCUAAGCCUUACAAAAUAAACCAGUCUACUUGUGUAAAAACAAACUAUUAAACUUAACAUCAACCCCAAUCAAAACAGCAAAAAAUGGCUUACUCACUCAAAGUUUUCCUAUGCUUCUCCUCUUCUUGAGAUAUCUUGAUGAUCUCCAAGCUGUGCCUGAAGUCCUCAUACACUCCCCCAACCCGAGACUCAGACUCAUUCUCUUUCAUCAUCCUCAACUUGACCAACCUCUCACUCAACUCCCCCAAUGAUAAUUAAAACACCUCAUUAUUUCUACCAUAAUAAACGCUGAGCAUUAACUAGUGGCUCUUGUUUAACUUCAGUAAUUUCUAAUGCAAGACUUGAGGUUCACAGCUCUGCCCUCUAAUUAGGGAUAAAGCUUCAAGUACUAAACCGGGACCAAACUUAAGAAGAAAAAACAAGGAAUUAAAGUUUGAUG